UACGUAGGGACCGAGCGUUGUCCGGAAUCAUUGGGCGUAAAGAGCGUGUAGGCGGCUUGUUAAGUCUUGCGUGAAAUCUCGGGGCUCAACCCCGAGCGGUCGUGAGAAACUGGCAGGCUAGAGUGCGGGGAGAGGAGAGUGGAAUUCCUGGUGUAGCGGUGAAAUGCGCAGAUAUCAGGAAGAACACCCGUGGCGAAGGCGGCUCUCUGGAACGCAACUGACGCUGAGACGCGAAAGCGUGGGGAGCAAACAGG
rnacentral:rRNA from 1 species